UGGCUCAGAUUGAACGCUGGCGGCAGGCCUAACACAUGCAAGUCGAGCGGUAGAGAGAAGCUUGCUUCUCUUGAGAGCGGCGGACGGGUGAGUAAUGCCUAGGAAUCUGCCUGGUAGUGGGGGAUAACGUUCGGAAACGGACGCUAAUACCGCAUACGUCCUACGGGAGAAAGCAGGGGACCUUCGGGCCUUGCGCUAUCAGAUGAGCCUAGGUCGGAUUAGCUAGUUGGUGAGGUAAUGGCUCACCAAGGCGACGAUCCGUAACUGGUCUGAGAGGAUGAUCAGUCACACUGGAACUGAGACACGGUCCAGACUCCUACGGGAGGCAGCAGUGGGGAAUAUUGGACAAUGGGCGAAAGCCUGAUCCAGCCAUGCCGCGUGUGUGAAGAAGGUCUUCGGAUUGUAAAGCACUUUAAGUUGGGAGGAAGGGUUGUAGAUUAAUACUCUGCAAUUUUGACGUUACCGACAGAAUAAGCACCGGCUAACUCUGUGCCAGCAGCCGCGGUAAUACAGAGGGUGCAAGCGUUAAUCGGAAUUACUGGGCGUAAAGCGCGCGUAGGUGGUUUGUUAAGUUGGAUGUGAAAUCCCCGGGCUCAACCUGGGAACUGCAUUCAAAACUGACUGACUAGAGUAUGGUAGAGGGUGGUGGAAUUUCCUGUGUAGCGGUGAAAUGCGUAGAUAUAGGAAGGAACACCAGUGGCGAAGGCGACCACCU
rnacentral:rRNA from 1 species